UGGCGGACGGGUGAGUAACGCGUAGGUAUCUAUCCUUGGGUGGGGGGACGAACUGUGGGAAACUACAGCUAAUACCGCAUGAUAACUGAGGUUUAAAGGCGCAAGUCGCCUGAGGAGGAGCCUGCGUACGAUUAGCUAGUUGGUGGGGUAAAGGCCUACCAAGGCGACGAUCGUUAGCUGGUCUGAGAGGAUGAUCAGCCACAUUGGGACUGAGACACGGCCCAA
rnacentral:rRNA from 1 species